AAAGCAAAAAACGCAAGAAAAGUAAGCUUAACCCAGAAUGCAUAAAUUCAGCCUGGAAAAAAAGCCUCAGAAAUGGGCUGGAUGUUAGGGGUCACAAUACUAAUGUCUUGGCUGUGGUUGGUCACAGACAAUCCUGUGUAUAUGCAGGUUGAGGAGUGUCUGGAGCAGAAAGCUCCAUCAGUGGCCAGUCACUACACUGAAACCACCCAAAAAAGUCCACCAGAUAUCAUGAGUCGGGGGCCAUUGUUCCCUUUUUUCCAAAAGGCAGGAUGAGGGAGCUGAGCACAUGGCCCUGGGCAGGAUUUCUGUCCUGUGCAGAGCAUGUCAUCACAUCCCACCUCACCUGGACUGUCCCGCUCAAGGAAAAGGUAAAGGGAAAGGAGAGAUAAGCCCAAGCUGGCUACAGGGGUGGUGGGACAAGAAUUAAGCCAACAUGGGUUCAGAGGGGCUGGAUGUUGGCCAUCACAGCCGGAAGGAUGGUAGAAAUGUGUGAAGGAACACAUGAAGACAAGAAAUCAUGUUGAAACUGUGAGAGGUAAACACAUGCCAGAGGCAAGGCAAGCACACACAGCACAGGCCAAUGAACACAAUGGAAAUAAAACCCAGUGUUUGCAAAAACCGGUAUGAAAGAUGAGGUACUCCCAUCAUACUCAUGCUGUUUUGCAGAGAACACUUUCCUUUGCUGCAGAAACUGUAAUAGUACCACUGCUGCAAAGCAGAGAAAUCACUACCAUAACACACACAAAACUCAGCAAAAUCACACACUGAAAAACAAACAGAUCCCAAAAAGUCAACAAAAAAUGUUCAACAAGGAAAAUAAGGGGGGUAGGGGGGAAAGACUGGGAACAAAGGUGUGUACCACAUUUGUCUCUUAAAGGCUUCUUAAAGUUUCAUUAGUUCAAUUACUUAAGUACAUCUAAUAGAGCUGAUGAAAUAUGGCAUCAUUUUAUUUUCAUCAAAAGUGGUGUGUCAUAUUCUGGAAGUUUUUCCUGGGAUGUGCCCAGCAUCAGCUGCUCAGGGAGGGGUGUGUGCUCUCAGCUCUGGCGUGUGCUCUUAGUUCAUGGCUGGAAAAUGCUUUGAAGAUGAAAAAGGCACCACGUACGCAACACGGGACAGAGCAGGAAUACCCACUUUGUGUGUGCGCCACACCGCCGCUUCCAAACGCAACGGGCUGCAUUGUCUUUACCUUGUACACGGGGAGAUGCUUCUGAGGGCAUGAGGAAAAGGAGGCAAGGUAUGUUUAAAAAGUCAUUUCACAGUGCAGUGAGGCAGCAGAGGCCCUGCAGCAGAGGAGGACUCCAGGAUGUGCCUCGUGUUGUCUGCCCGAGCAUCCGACAGGCUGUGCUUGGGUGUUAGCAGAGGAUGCUCCUUCCCGAGUGGUUAAAUUCCCAUCCCCACCUCAGCGCUCCUGCUUUUGUAACCUGGAGUCACCCACACUUCCAAAGGAACAAGCAAAUGCCACAAAAACACGAGAGACAAGGAUUUUUGCAUUUAGUCUCUGCAUCAUGCCAGUGUAAAACCCUGGGUGUAUGGCUCUCCUGCAGUAGGAGAGGGCUUCCAGGACAGCACCAGGACUUCAGCUACAAGAGGCAGAGGGCAAGGAAAAGCUCAGGGAAUGACAGAUGAAGAACUGUCAUCAUUACCCUUAAGAGGCUACAGGAUUCUAUACACAAUACAAACAGCACUGAAGCAGGUUUCAGGCUGACGAUGCCAGGUCUGUGAAGGUAAGCCUAUAAAAUGCCAAGGCACAUGGAACCUAUUUACAACAGCUGCACAUACGAAAACUAGUCAAGAGAGUUCACUUCCUAACAAAUUACAAUGCACCAGAAAUAGGAGAGCCCUCCUCUCCCACGGAAACACAAAGUGCAUGGAUUUCUUUUUCAUGUGCGAAGUUUUGUUUAAUGCAUUUUUAAAAUUUAUAUUUGCAAACAGACACAGGAAUGGGAAAUAUGCUGGGGCCAGUCUUGAGGCCACUCAGGGUGUGUUUGUGCACCACAGAGACACCCCAAGCAGGCACACUCGCACAGCUCCUCAGUACUGGGCUCAGGGAACCAGCACACCUUUGGAAUCAUAGAACACUUCAGCUGGAAGGAACCUUUAAAGCUCAGCUGGUCCAACCCUUCUGUAAUAAGCAGGGACAUCUUCCACUAGAUGAGGAUGUCUCAGGGCUCCAGCCAACCUGACCUUGAAUGUUUUCAGGGAUGAGACACCAACCAACUCCCUGGACAACCUGUGCCAGAGUUUCACCACCCCCAUUGUAAAUAUUUCAUCUUUGUAUCUAAGUCAACCCUCCUUCAGUUUAAAACCACUACACCUUGUCUGUCACUACAGGCCCUACUAAAAGGUCUGUCUCCAUCCUUCUUAUUAGCUCUCUUCAAGUAUGUGGAAGGAUUAGAUCCAUCUUGAUCAUGUAAGAAUCCUUCAGUCUUCCAUAUCCCCAAAGCAAAGGCAAAUUUUAGUUCAACAAGUAGACCACAAAAUUUUCCCAAACUUUUCCCCCUUUAUGAGUUGUGGGAAAGCAGGAUGGCACCAGAAAUUAGUUAAAUGAUCUAAUAUCAUGUCAGCUGUGAUUUAAACACUGAAUCAACCCCAGUACUAUGCAUGGCAUGAGCUGUCAGAUCUUCCUCUGAUCCUCCACCUUUAGCACACCUGGCACAGCAAAACUAAACUGUGAUUUGUGUUAGUUAUUCUCUCCUGUUCUACAUAAUUGAAACAUUUGAGCCAGACAAUCCCACUGCAAAUACAAAACUUGAAUAGAAUUUACUCUGGGACAAGUUAGCCACAAAGGACAUCACCACCAAAAAGUGCUUAAAUUCUGCUAGAGCUCUGUCAGCAGUGAAGUUUGUCCUAGAAAUGGCUUUCAGGAAGACAGCUGGUAUUGGGGGUGGGGGCUGGGUGUGGAAUACCUGAGUUUUCUGAAUAUCCACCCAAGGAGCACCUUCCAGGAGUGCUCUGGCUUUAAACAGCCCUCAGUUCCCCCAACACCUCCUUCUUGCCAUCCCCUGUGCCCCCACGCCAGCACACCCAUGCGAGAGCCUGGGCAGCCACGCCAUGACCCUAAGCAGGGACUGACCCCAGCUAAAAAUAAUUCCUUUUGCCAGCUUAUUUUUAACCCAGCUCGGGGCCUGCAGCCAGCUCAUCGUGCAGCCACCCCAGCUGGGGCAGGGAAGGGGGAAAUUAUCGAGGGCAGCUGGAAUCAGCAUCCAGGUUAUGGUGUUAUGCAAAAGAACUUAUUCUACUAAUGCAAAUAAUAAUUAAAAACCUAGCAGUUCUUUCAAUUGCAAAACCAGUUUGGAGAAGUUAUAUUUCUAAAGGUUAGUUCUGAAAAUUACAGAUUUGGUAUUACCCGUAACAUUUAAAAACAAUAAUUAAGGUUUGGUUUUCUGGUGCACCAGGUUCUCCAAAAUGAUCAGCAGCUCCCAGGGAAGAAAAAACCAAACAUGAGCUGUAGCAUCCUGAAAAGCUGUGUCAGUGCUAAAAGCUGCCUUCUGCUCCAAGCAAGAAGGGCUGGGAAACAAUUUCUAGCAAAGUGGUGCUGCCUGGCAGUGGGAAACGGGGCUCCUUGGAGCUGGAGUAAACCAGCAGAGGGCAAUAUUGGCUGUGGCGAGCUGUCCUGGCCGAACAGCCGCUGCCAGCCCGGGCUUGGGCGGUCACACAGCCAUUCUGCACGGCUGCCCAAACUUGGACCAGGUGGGGGCUAAGGGGAGCCACCAGCUACACCAAAGGGUCUGUGCGUCAUCCUGGAAAAUGAAGAUAACACACUGGAUUAAAAACAGCGGCAGAGACAUGCCAGGUGAGCUGGGACAGGUGGAUUUUACCUUCCACCCCCAUCCACACCCAAGAACCCCAUUAUAUCCUGCAUUCAGCUCAGCGUGUACCAACAAGAAUCCUGCAUUCCCAGCACAUCACAAACUACUCAAGGCAACAUUUUACCACAAAGAUUCCCCAAUCUGCAACAAACUGGUAAAAUAAAGUGAUUUUUCAGCAC